rnacentral:lncRNA from 1 species
ACCGAGGCACGAAGCCGAACCUUGCUCGAGGUCGCUCCUGGUAGCAACUGCCGCCGUCGCUGUCGCCGUCGCUUUCGGUCCGCUGUGAACCUUCGUGGCGACUUCUGGCUGCCUGCCUCCGUGUGCUCCAUCACAGCUUGACGCUCAAACGCGGCUUUCAGUGGUGUUCUGGUCGCGUUGGUCUUUGGUUCGCAAUUCGUAAUUCCCAAACAACAAAAAAUACAUCCAUUUUUGUGAAUGAGUCUCGGCAGCGAACUGAAUGAGUGAAUGGAAAACGAGUCUAAUUAAUUUCACAGAAAAAGUGCAAUCAGUUUUUUUUCAAUUAACAUACAAUAUUCUGG